rnacentral:lncRNA from 1 species
AUCUUUUUCUGGCAAUUGCCCCCUUUGCAGUUUUCUGCUGUGAGCCUAGGAGACAGAUGCAUCUAAAACGCCAGCUAUGAUCAUUUGAAUACAACUACAACACGUACGAAGAAGCAACGAAUAAAAUUACAAGCGGUGGUCAAUAGGUGGCGCUUUUCCCCUUCCUGAUGUCCCUUAGACCCCACCAGCACCACGGAAGAAGUGUUUUAAAAGAACAUUUUGAAAAACUUUCGUAAGGAAUGUAAGUUGAUGAGAAGUAAUGUAAAACAGGAAUUUUUGAUCAUAUCGUGGGCCUUUUUUUGCACUGUCACUGAGUGGAUGGACUUAAACCAGAAUUGCACAAAUCACUGAAAUAAAUGAAUUUAGUUUAUAGCUAACAAUUUACUGUUUUCCAAUAGUAUUGAGAAAGUUGGCCACACUCCCACGACUUCGUUGGAGUUCUGUCUUUUUUUCAGAAGGAUUCUUAUUUUCAAAGAAAAAGAGACAUUGUUAGAAAGAUUCAGUGACAGAACAGCAGUUCUUGGUACAAAAAAAAUGCCCAACACAGCUUCUUUUUGGUCAAAUCUAACAUAAUGGAAAAAAAAACUGUCAAAAUUAUUAUAUGCCAUUUUAAAAUGACAUUUCAACAGACUGCAUAUUGGUUGACUACUGAAUUUUUGUAAGUGAUACCUAUUUUAACGUAGCAUGAAAAAUCAAUAUUAAAAGAAUAUAUGCUAACUAUAAGCCUGAAAUCCGGGUUCCAGUGUGAAACCUACAUAAGCAUCAGUGUCUAAAAAGAAUUCACCUUGGUUUUCAUGAAGGAAGAAAAGGAUCUCUUUUUCUUAAGAACAGAAAUAUAUUUAAAAUUCUGCCUUAUACUGUAGGAAAAAAAAAAAGGCAGCGCACACUCAUCUGCACACAUACAUGUGUGCAAGGGCACACUGUAUAUUCACAUGCAGAAUCUUCAUAUACAAUCUUAUUAUUCCUAAAGUAGAGUUAUUUUAAAAGCAAAGAGAUAAUUGAUUAGCAGUGCAAGACAUUUUCUAAUGCUGGAAGGCAAAGUAGAGUUUCUUAUCUACUUUCUCUUAUCAAUAUCUUAAAAUGAAAACUACAUUUCAAGAGCAAAGUUAUUAUAUCGUGAUAAGAAGUUUCAGCCAUAACUAAGAAUUUUGCAUUGAUUAAUAAGUGGAAUUAAAAGG